rnacentral:rRNA from 1 species
UAGAGGGUGGUAGAAUUUCAGGUGUAGCGGUGAAAUGCGUAGAGAUCUGAAGGAAUACCGAUGGCGAAGGCAGCCACCUGGGUCAAUACUGACGCUCAUGUACGAAAGCGUGGGGAGCAAACGGGAUUAGAUACCCCGGUAGUCCACGCCGUAAACGAUGUCUACUAGGAGCUGGGGUCUUCGGACAACUUUUCCAAAGCUAACGCAUUAAGUAGACCGCCUGGGGAGUACGGCCGCAAGGUUAAAACUCAAAUGAAUUGACGGGGGCCCGCACAAGCGGUGGAGCAUGUGGUUUAAUUCGAUGCAACGCGAAGAACCUUACCUACACUUGACAUGCUGAGAAGUUACUAGAGAUAGUUUCGUGCCUUCGGGAACUCAGACACAGGUGCUGCAUGGCUGUCGU